rnacentral:ncRNA from 1 species
AUAAAGUUUUAUUCUAGCUUUAGGAUUUAUUAUUGGUUUAUUUUAUAUGUAAGUUUUAGCGUGAGGGUUUAUUUAUUUGAAUAAUAGGUGAAUUUUGUUGGAGCCGCAGUAAUUAAUAUUAUUAAUUAAAGAAAUUUAGAAAUAGUAAUUCUAUUUAGUAUUGGCUAAAUUUGUGCCAGCAGCCGCGGUUAUACUAAUAAUACAAAUAAAUCUGUUUCAGUAAAAGUUAAAUUUUUGAAUUGUGGAAUGGCGAUGAAUUUAUUAGGUGAAAUUUUAAAUUCAUAAAAUUUUUGAAAUUGUUUGGUUGAAGCUUGUAAAUUUUAAUAUAAAACUAGGAUUAGAUACCCUAUUAUUUAAAGUGUAGUUUGUUUACUAAGGUAGUAUUAGUUAUGUUCUUGAAACUUAAAGAAUUUGGCGGUAUUUUAGUCUAUUCAGAGGAACUUGUCCUGUAAUCGAUAAUCCCCGAUGGACCUCACUUGAGUUUGUGUGUCAGUUUAUAUACCGUCGUUAUUAGAAUAUUUUAUUAGAAUAAUAAUUUUCUAGAUUUUUGAUUAAAAUAUAUAUCAGAUCAAGGUGUAGCUAAUACUUAAGAAGAGAUGAGUUACAAUAAAUUUAUUUAAAUGGAAUUAGAUUUGAAAUGUUUAAUGAAGGUGGAUUUGAUGGUAAAAUUAUAAAGAUUGAUAGUUUGAUUUUAGCUCUAAAAUAUGCACACAUCGCCCGUCGCUCUUACUAUUAAGGUAAGAUAAGUCGUAACAUAGUAGAUGUACCGGAAGGUGUAUCUAGAAUGAC